rnacentral:rRNA from 1 species
UACGUAGGGUGCAAGCGUUAAUCGGAAUUACUGGGCGUAAAGCGUGCGCAGGCGGUUGUGCAAGACAGAUGUGAAAUCCCCGGGCUCAACCUGGGAAUUGCAUUUGUGACUGCACGGCUAGAGUGUGUCAGAGGGGGGUAGAAUUCCACGUGUAGCAGUGAAAUGCGUAGAGAUGUGGAGGAAUACCGAUGGCGAAGGCAGCCCCCUGGAAUAACACUGACGCUCAUGCACGAAAGCGUGGGGAGCAAACAGG